rnacentral:rRNA from 1 species
GAUAGGUUAAGUUAAUAAGGGCGCAUGGUGGAUGCCUUGGCACUAGAAGGCGAUGAAGGACGUGACUAACUACGAUAUGCCUCGGUUAGCUGUAAGUAAGCUUACCCGGGGGUUUCCGAAUGGGGCAACCCGAUCUUAAUGAUCAUCAUCUUUUUGAAUUCAUAGAUUAGAUGAAGCAAACGCUGUGAACUGAAACAUCUAAGUAGCAGUAGGAAAGUAAAGAAAUUUCGAUUCCGUCAGUAGCGGCGAGCGAACGCGGAAGAGCCCAAACCUGGGUGCUUGCAUCCAGGGGUUGUAGGACUGAUGUUGAGUUACAAAGGUAUAAGAUAGCAGAAACAGUUGGGAAGCUGUUCCAAAGAGGGUGACAGGCCCGUAUGCGAAAUCUUGUACUCUCUAAUCAGGAUCCUGAGUACGGCCCAGCACGUGAAAUUGGGUCGGAAUCUGGGAGGACCAUCUCCCAAGGCUAAAUACUAACUAGUGACCGAUAGCGAACAAGUACCGUGAGGGAAAGGUGAAAAGAACCCCGGAAGGGGAGUGAAAUAGUUCUUGAAACCGUGUGCUUACAAGAAGUUCGAGGCCGUUAAUGGCUGAGAGCGUGCUUUUUGUAGAAUGAACCGGAGAGUUACGAUUGCGUGCAAGGUUAAGGUGCAAAGACUGGAGCCGUAGCGAAAGCGAGUCUUAAU